rnacentral:lncRNA from 12 species
AUAUAAGGAGAAGAAAAUGGCCACAUAUCAGUUGUUGAAGAGAAAAACCAAGAAAGUGCUGUUCUUCACAUCAUCAUCAUACUCCUCCUGAUCUCCCUCUGAUACACAUGAAAUAAAACCUCACAUUGUAAUGUGUAACACAGCUUGUGUCACUGAUCUCUUUCUCCUCAUGACUGUCUGAGACUAUUCAAUUAAACCUGAUAAACCUGAUGAUUCAUUAAUGAUUUAAAUACAUGUUCAUUAUGUAACAUGAUAUAUAUAUAAUACAGCAGGUGAUGAUAAAAAGCAGUUCUGUGUGACUCACCUGUUACACAUUUAAAGUUCUGUCCAGUAAUUAUGACAUCAUCAUAAUGCUCCGGUGAGUCCACUACACAUACAUGAAGAUAUAAACAAAACAAAUGU